ACGGCCAGAAAAGACCGAUUUUGUUUAUGCUUUAUAAAAAUCAGAGUACUUCUUUAAUAAAAGUGUUGCGGAAUUUUUCCCCAGAAAAACAUGAUAAAUACGUUAUUAAAACAUUUUCGAAGAAACGUAUUUUAUUCAUUUUAAAACGUUUGGGAUGUCAUCGUCAAUACAGGAACAUAAGCAUAAACAGAACUUACAUUCAUUUACACUAAUGAUUUACAUCUCCUUUAUUCUCUCAGUGAAUUAUGUCUUCGUAUUGAUACCUGUGAUACAAAGAAAACUGAGUGGGUCAGGCUUGGGAGCCUGGUGAGCAUAUAGGGUUUUCAACCCACAAUAAUACAUUUAUUAUAUUCAAUUACCAACAAUUGACCCAAAUACCCAUCCCCAUUAUCUUCUUUAAGGUUUUACCCUAAGAAUCGAUUAUACUUCCUUUAUUCAUUCCUAAGGGUUUACCUGAGGAACUGGCUCACAGUACAUUUGCUACCACGGUUCAUACAAUAGGUACUACGUCGCAUAGUCACCAGGGUUCGUACAAUUGGCACUACGUCUCAUAGUCACCAGGGCUUACACAAUAGGCACUACGUCUCAUAGUCACCUAGGUUCAUACAAUUGGCACUACGUCUCAUAGUCACCAGGACUUACACAAUAGGCACUACGUCUCAUAGUCACCUGGGUUCAUACAAUUGGCACUACGUCUCAUAGUCACCAGGGCUUACACAAUAGGCACUACGUCUCAUAGUCACCUGGGUUCAUACAAUUGGCACUACGUCUCAUAGUCACCAGGGCUUACACAAUAGGCACUACGUCUCAUAGUCACCUGGGUUCAUACAAUUGGCACUACGUCUCAUAGUCACC
rnacentral:lncRNA from 1 species